CCCUUAGAUGUUCUGGGCUGCACGCGCGCUACACUGAUGCGCUCAACGAGUUUUAACCUUGCCUGGAAAGGUUGGGUAAUCUUUUUAAAACGCAUCGUGAUGGGGAUAGAUUAUUGCAAUUAUUAAUCUUCAACGAGGAAUUCCUAGUAAGCGCGAGUCAUCAGCUCGUGCUGAUUACGUCCCUGCCCUUUGUACACACCGCCCGUCGCUACUACCGAUUGAAUGGUUUAGUGAGAUCUUCGGAUUGGAGUCCUAGGUGACGGCGACGCCACCUUGGACACCCGAAAAGUUGAGCUAACUGAAUUAUUUAGAGGAAGUAAAAGUCGUAACA
rnacentral:rRNA from 1 species